AAAGUCCGACGGUACAGGGUGAUAGUCCCGUACACCAAAAUGCACAGGCUGUGAACUCGAAGAGUAGGGCGGGACACGUGGUAUCCUGUCUGAAUAUGGGGGGACCAUCCUCCAAGGCUAAAUACUCCUGACUGACCGAUAGUGAACCAGUACCGUGAGGGAAAGGCGAAAAGAACCCCGGCGAGGGGAGUGAAAAAGAACCUGAAACCGUGUACGUA
rnacentral:rRNA from 1 species